AUAUUCUCUGCUCUACCCUUGUUGCAACUGCUAAUGAAGCUGUUCAUGAUGUGGAUAUUUACUUUAGAGUAAAGUGCUUGCAGAUUUUGGCUACAUUUCCCGAAGGUCAUUUACCGAUAUCAAAAAGUAUAUUCGAGAAUAUUUUGACAUCACUUGUGUCAAUUAUCCUGGUGGAUUUCAAACAGAUGCUGUUAUGGAAGCUUGCCGUGAAGGCAUUAGUUCAUAUUGGCUCUUUCAUCAGUAAAUAUAAUGAGUUGGAGAAGGCACUGAGCUAUACAAGUAUUGUUGUUGAAAAAAUUGUUUCAUCACUGUCUAGUGAUAAAUUUACCCUGCCUUUUCCACUCAAACUGGAAGUGGUAUCUGAACUAGGUGCAAGUGGAUAGAAUCAUAUGCUGAUGAUUGUUCAAGGGUUGGAAGGGGCUAUAUUUGCUAACCUUGAUGAUUUUUUAGUACGUAACUUUCCAUCUAAGAGAGUAUUUUCAUUUAAA